GCCCAGGUGGCGGAAUGGUAGACGCGCUAGUUUCAGGUACUAGUGUCCAAAAGACGUGGAGGUUCGAGUCCUCUCCUGGGCACCA
rnacentral:tRNA from 1 species